AUUGAACGCUGGCGGCAGGCCUAACACAUGCAAGUCGAGCGAGCGGCGGACGGUUGAGUAAUGUCUGGGAAACUGCCUGAUGGAGGGGGAUAACUACUGGAAACGGUAGCUAAUACCGCAUACCAUCAGAUGUGCCCAGAUGGGCUUUGCUAGUAGGUGGGGUAACGGCUCACCUAGGUGACGAUUGCUAGCUGGUCUGAGAGGAUGACCAGCCAAAAUGGAACUGGGACACGGACCAGACUCCUAAGGGAGGGAAGAGGGGGGAAUAUUGCAACAUGGGAGAAAGGCUGAUGCGGCCAUGCCGCGUGUAGGAAGAAGGACUUCGGGUUGUAAAGGACCUUCAGAGGGGAGGCGUUAAACGAAGAAGAAGCACAGGCUAACCCCGUGCCAGCAGCCGCGGUAAUAU
rnacentral:rRNA from 1 species